UACAGAGGGUGCAAGCGUUAAUCGGAAUUACUGGGCGUAAAGCGCGUGUAGGCGGCUCGGUAAGUCUGCUCUGAAAGCCCGGGGCUCAACCCUGGGAGGCGGGUGGAUACUGCUGAGCUCGAGUCCGGAAGAGGCGAGUGGAAUUCCUGGUGUAGCGGUGAAAUGCGCAGAUAUCAGGAGGAACACCAAUGGCGAAGGCAGCUCGCUGGGACGGUACUGACGCUGAGACGCGAAAGCGUGGGGAGCAAACAGG
rnacentral:rRNA from 1 species